GCACUCUGGUUUCUCUUCACAACGAAUAAAUCUUUCGCUUUUUACUAAAGAUUUCCGUGGAGAGGAGCAAUAUUAUGAGUCUAUAGACAAUUUCUCCAAGCUCUACGUUGUAGGGUU